rnacentral:ncRNA from 1 species
GGCAUGCUUAAACAUGCAAGUUAGACGGGAAAUUCUAGUGGCGAACAAGUGAGUAACGCGUAAGAACCUGUCCUUAGGAGGGAAACAACAGCUGGAAACGACUGCUAAUACCCUGUAGGCUAAGGAGCAAAAGGAGGAACCCACCUGAGGAGGGGCUCGCGUCUACUUAGCUAGUUGGCGAUGCAAUAGCUUACCAACGCAUUGAUCAGUUGCUGGUCCGAGAGGAUGAUCAGCCAGACUGGGACUGGUUAGGUACCCGCUUUGAGAUCUGAGUAAUCUGAAUUCGCAUCGGAAAGUCUAACAGUGCC